rnacentral:rRNA from 1 species
GACGAAGGGGGCUAGCGUUGUUCGGAAUUACUGGGCGUAAAGCGCGUGUAGGCGGUUGCCCAAGUCGGGUGUGAAAGCCUUGAGCUCAACUCAAGAAAUGCACUCGGUACUGGGUGACUAGAGGACCGGAGAGGAUAGUGGAAUUCCCAGUGUAGUGGUGAAAUACGUAGAGAUUGGGAAGAACACCGGUGGCGAAGGCGACUCUUUGGCCUGUAACUGACGCUGAGGUGCGAAAGCGUGGGGAGCAAACAGG